rnacentral:rRNA from 1 species
UACGUAGGGUGCGAGCGUUAUUCGGAAUUACUGGGCGUAAAGCGCGCGCAGGCGGCUUUGUAAGUCCGAUGUGAAAUCCCCGGGCUUAACCUGGGAAUGGCAUUUGGGACUGCAAGGCUGGAGUGCGGCAGAGGAGACUGGAAUUCCUGGUGUAGCAGUGAAAUGCGUAGAUAUCAGGAGGAACACCGGUGGCGAAGGCGGGUCUCUGGGCCGAUACUGACGCUGAGGAGCGAAAGCGUGGGGAGCAAACAGG